rnacentral:rRNA from 1 species
UACGUAGGGACCGAGCGUUGUCCGGAAUCAUUGGGCGUAAAGAGCGUGUAGGCGGCUAUUUAAGUCCUGCGUGAAAUCCUGCGGCUCAACCGCAGACGGUCGUGGGAAACUGGAUGGCUAGAGUGCGGGAGAGGAGAGUGGAAUUCCCCGGUGUAGCGGUGAAAUGCGCAGAUAUCGGGAAGAACACCCGUGGCGAAGGCGGCUCUCUGGAACGCAACUGACGCUGAGACGCGAAAGCGUGGGGAGCAAACAGG